AGCCCAGUGGUCCAAUGGUAAAGCGCUUGUCGCGGAGCCAGGUGGUCCUGAGUCCGAUUCCCAACGGGGUCG
rnacentral:tRNA from 1 species